rnacentral:rRNA from 1 species
CCUACGGGUGGCAGCAGUGGGGAAUAUUGCGCAAUGGGCGAAAGCCUGACGCAGCGACGCCGCGUGAGGGAUGAAGGUCUUCGGAUCGUAAACCUCUGUCAGCAGGGAAGAACGGUCACUGUGCUAAUCAGCAGUGAAUUGACGGUACCUGCAAAGGAAGCACCGGCUAAAUCCGUGCCAGCAGCCGCGGUAAUACGGAGGGUGCGAGCGUUAAUCGGAAUUACUGGGCGUAAAGCGCUCGUAGGCGGUAUGUCAAGUCAAGGGUGAAAGCCCCGGGCUCAACGUGGGAACUGCCUUUGAAACUGGCAAACUGGAGUGUGUGAGAGGAUAGUGGAAUUCCAGGUGUAGGAGUGAAAUCCGUAGAUAUCUGGAGGAACAUCAGUGGCGAAGGCGACUAUCUGGCACAUAACUGACGCUGAGGAGCGAAGGCGUGGGUAGCAAACAGGAUUAGAUACCCUAGUAGUC